CCUACGGGAGGCAGCAGUGAGGAAUAUUGGUCAAUGGACGAGAGUCUGAACCAGCCAAGUAGCGUGAAGGAUGACUGCCCUAUGGGUUGUAAACUUCUUUUAUAAAGGAAUAAAACGAGGCACGUGUGCCUUUUUGCAUGUACUUUAUGAAUAAGGAUCGGCUAACUCCGUGCCAGCAGCCGCGGUAAGACGGAGGAUCCGAGCGUUAUCCGGAUUUCUUGGGUUUAAAGGGAACGUAGAUGGGUUGUUAAGUCAGUUGUGAAAGUUUGCGGCUCAACCGUAAAAUUGCAAUUGAUACUGGCAGUCUUGAGUACAGUUGAGGGAGGCGGAAUUCGUGGUGUAGCGGUGAAAUGCUUAGAUAUCACGAAGAACCCCGAUUGCGAAGGCAGCUUACUAAACUGUGACUGACAUUGAUGCUCGAAAGUGUGGGUAUCAAACAGGAUUAGAUACCCCAGUAGUC
rnacentral:rRNA from 1 species